GGCGUGGUAGCCAAGUGGCAAGGCAACUGUCUGCAAAACAGUUAUACACCGGUUCGAAUCCGGUCCACGCCU
rnacentral:tRNA from 1 species